GGGCCUACGGGGCGUAGCAGUGAGGAAUAUUGGUCAAUGGGCUUACGCCUGAACCAGCCAAGUCGCGUGAGGGAAGACUGCCCUAUGGGUUGUAAACCUCUUUUGUCAGGGAGCAAUUGACGCUACGUGUAGCGUUAUCGAGAGAACCUGAAGAAAAAGCAUCGGCUAAUUCCGUGCCAGCAGCCGCGGUAAUACGGAGGAUGGGAGCGUUAUCCGGAUUUAUUGGGUUUAAAGGGUGCGUAGGCGGAAUGCCAAGUCAGCGGUAAAAUCGCGGGGCUCAACCUCGCUCCGCCGUUGAAACUGGG
rnacentral:rRNA from 1 species